GGCGGGUACAGGGUGCGUAUUCCUGUAAUCUAGCUACUCGGAGGCCAGAGUGCGGAAUUUCGUGUGACGGGCAGUUCUAGCAUAUGGCCGCUCAUGUUGAUUGGGCGUCUACGCUAAGCACGGUGCCGAUAUGGAUGACCUGUCGAAGGACGGGUUGUUCAGGUCGACUAAGGAGGGGUGCACCGGUCCAGGGGGAAACCCAGCAGACGAAAGUCCCCACGCGGUGC
rnacentral:SRP_RNA from 1 species